UACGUAGGGGGCAAGCGUUGUCCGGAUUUAUUGGGCGUAAAGAGCGUGUAGGCGGCCGCACAGGUCCGUUGUGAAAACUGGAGGCUUAACCUUCAGACGUCGAUGGAAACCGUGCGGCUAGAGUCCGGAAGAGGAGAAUGGAAUUCCUGGUGUAGCGGUGAAAUGCGCAGAUAUCAGGAGGAAUACCGGUGGCGAAGGCGGCCUUCUGGACGGUGACUGACGCUGAGACGCGAAAGCGUGGGGAGCAAACAGG
rnacentral:rRNA from 1 species